rnacentral:piRNA from 1 species
UCACUGUUGAUUGGCCAGACGGCAGCAGG